CCCGCGGUAGCUCAGCCUGGUAGAGCGUCCGGCUGUAGUCCUCGGCCGGGGCCGAGGCGCCCCAGCAUACCAGGCGGACAGACACCGGAGGGCCGCAGGUUCAAAUCCUGCCCGCGGGACCA
rnacentral:tRNA from 1 species